GUUAAUUAUUUUCUGUUUUAUUUUCUGUUUUCUAUUUCAUUGAUUUUGUCUCUCAUUACUUCUUUCUGCUUAGUUGGGGUAUAAUCAUAAAGUGAUGAUGCUCAUUUUUUUCCUUCUUUCUGCUUAGUUGGGGUAUAAUCAUAAAAUGAUUAGGUCAUUGAUUUUAAAUGUUUUUCUUCUUUUAGGUAGUUUGUAAUGCUAUGAAUUUUCUUCUAAUCAACUUUUAGCCAUAUAUCACACAUUUUGAUAUGCUAUAAUUCAGCUCAACCCAUUUUCCUCUUGGACCAUUGACUUUUUAUGUCUGUUGUUAAUUCUCAAAUAGUUAGGGAUUUUCCAAAUAUCUUUCUGUGACUGAUUUCUAAUAAAAUUUUGUUGUGGUAGAAGAAUAUACAUUAAAUUAUUUCAAUUUUUUAAUUUAUUGAGACUUGUUUUAGGAACCAAAAUAUGAUCUAUUUUGGUAAAUGUGUCUUGAGUACUGGAAAAGAAUAUGUAUUCUGCUGUUGUUGGUUGGAGUGUUCUAGAAAUGUUAACUAAAUUUAAUUGGUAGUGAUUUCCAAGUAUUCUAUAUCCUUAGUGACUUCCAAUCUUUUUCUAUUAAAUAUUAAAAUAGGGGUAUUGAAAUCUCCAUUGUGGCUAUGUCUACUCCUAUCAGUUAUUGCUUUGAAACUCUCUUAAGAGUAUAUAUUUAGAACGUUAUAUCCCCUUGAUGAAUUGACCCAUUUAUCAAUAUGAAAUGGCCCUCAUCUCUCUUUAAUAUUCUUUGCUCUGAAAUAUACUUAUUAAUAUGUAUUGAUCAUUCUUUUUCUUUUUUUCUUUUUUUUGGAGACAGAGUCUUGCCCUGUUGCCCAGGAUGGAGUGCAGUGGUGAGUUCUCAGCUCACUGCAACCCCCACGUCUCAGGAUUAAGCGAUUCUCAUGCCUCAGCCUCCUGAAUAGAUGGGACUAUAGGCACCCGCCACCUUGCCUGGCUAAUUUUUUGUAUUUUCGUAAAGACGAGGUUUUACCUUGUUGCCCAGGGUGAUUUCAAACUCCUGAGCUCAGGCAAUCUGCCCAACUUGGCCUCUCAAAGUGGUAGGAUUACAGGCAUAAGCGACUGCACCUGGCCAAUUUUCUGUAUUUCUGAUGCUCUGACAUGUGGGCCUUGCUGACACUGGAAAGACUGCCCCUCCCAGGGAUAGCCAAUUCCUAGAGGAAUUAUGUGAACAAUUCAAAUACAAACCAACAAAUCCAGAUCCCCUAACCUCACCCAUCUCCUUUUGUGGUCUUCACAUGCACAGUCACUAUUCCCCUCACCUAAUCACCCCAGUGUCAGGUACCAGACAACAAGAGACAGCCCCCCUUUUAUCCUAGAGCCCAUUGAAAUUAUUCAAACCAGCCAAAAUCCUAAGCCUGCUUAUACUGCCUUGCUUUGCCUCUCCAGUAAGAACCACUAAAAGGCACUUGCCCAUGCGUCCCCCUCACUCCUUCUGUCUCCUGACCAACCCGGUGCUCCUUCACAUGCCCUUGUUGUUUGGCAUGCCCUUCCUCUUGGGAACUAUGAAUAGCAAAGUAUCAUUUCAAUGGCAAUCAUCUCCUAAUUUGUUAGACUCAACACACCAGGACAAUAAUAAAAUCUACAUCUUAAAACAAUGUAUAACUAUGUUAAUAUAGCCACUUCAAAUUUAUUUUGAUUGUAUCCACAGACCACAUCUUUUUCUAACUUUUUACUUUUGUUACUUUUAUCUUUAUAUUCAAAGUAGGCAGCAUGCAGUUGGAUUUUGCUUUUUUAUCUAAUGUGACAAUUUCUGCCUUUUAACUGAGCUAUUUAGACCAUUUACAUUUACUGGAA
rnacentral:lncRNA from 10 species